GGCUCAUUAAAUCACACCUAAUCUACUGGAUAGUAAAAAGUUACUUGGAUAACUGCGGUAAUUCUGGAGCUAAUACAUGCACAAAGCCGCGACUCACGNAAGCGGCGCUUUUAUUAGAUCAAAACCAAACGGCUUCGGCUGUACUCAUGGUGACUCUGAAUAACUUUGGGCUGAUCGCAUAGCCUUGAGCUGGCGACAUAUCCUUCGAAGGUGUGCCCUAUCAACUUUCGACUGUGGCAUAGACGCCCACAGUGGUUUUGACGGGUAACGGGGAAUCAGGGUUCGAUUCCGGAGAGGGAGCCUUAAAAACGGCUACCACAUCUAAGGAAGGCAGCAGGCACGCAAAUUACCCAAUGACCGAAGGUCGAGGUAGUGACGAAAAAUAACGAUAGAGGACUCAUCCGAGGCCCUCUAAUUGGAAUGAGUACACUUUAAAACCGUCCCCGAGGAUCUAUUGGAGGGCAAGUCUGGUGCCAGCAGCCGCGGUAAUUCCAGCUCCAAUAGCGUAUAUUAAAGUUGUUGUGGUUAAAAAGCUCGUAGUUGGAUCUCAACAGCCUUGAAGCGGUUACUUUGUGUUUUACUGCUUUGUAGGCUGUGCUUUUGCUGGAGGUUUAGGGGUGCUCUUGAUCGAGUGUCUCUGGAUGCCAGCAGGUUUACUUUGAAAAAAUUAGAGUGCUCAAAGCAGGCUAAAAUGCCUGAAUAUUCGUGCAUGGAAUAAUAGAAUAGGAUGUCGAUCCUAUUUUGUUGGGUUUCGGGACUCGACAUAAUGAUAAAUAGGGACAGUCGGGGGCAUUUGUAUUCAAACGACAGAGGUGAAAUUCUUGGACCGUUUGAAGACAAACUACUGCGAAAGCAUUUGCCAAGAAUGUUUUCAUUAAUCAAGAACGAAAGUUAGAGGUUCGAAGGCGAUUAGAUACCGCCCUAGUUCUAACCAUAAACGAUGCCAGCUAGCGAUCUGCCUGCGUUUUUACUGUAGACUGGGCAGGAAGCUUCCGGGAAACCAAAGCAUUUGGGUUCCAGGGGAAGUAUGGUUGCAAAGCUGAAACUUAAAGGAAUUGACGGAAGGGCACCACCAGGAGUGGAGCCUGUGGCUUAAUUUGACUCAACACGGGAAAUCUCACCAGGCCCGGACACUGGAAGGAUUGACAGAUUGAUAGCUCUUUCUUGAUUCGGUGGGUGGUGGUGCAUGGCCGUUCUUAGUUGGUGGAGUGAUUUGUCUGGUUAAUUCCGAUAACGAACGAGACUCUGUCCUGCUAAAUAGUUUCUACUUCUCUUUUGAGUAGAAANUUCUUCUUAGAGGGACUGGUGACUCUUAGUCACACGAGAUUGAGCAAUAACAGGUCUGUGAUGCCCUUAGAUGUUCUGGGCCGCACACGCGCUACACUGAAUAGAUCAGCGUGUCACCCUUCCCGAAAGGGACGGGUAAACGCUUGAACCCUAUUCGUGGUAGGGAUCGGGGCUUGCAAUUGUUCCCCGUGAACCAGGAAUUCCCAGUAGGCGCAAGUCAUAAGCUUGCGUCGAUUACGUCCCUGCCCUUUGUACACACCGCCCGUCGCUACUACCGAUUGAACAUUUU
rnacentral:rRNA from 1 species